GGCCGGUUGGCUCAGUUGGUGAGAGCGUGGUGCUGGUAACACCAAGGUUGCGGGUUCAAUCCCCACAUGGGCCA